AGAGCCCCAACACAGGGAUCAAGUGCGAACGGAUGGUGUUAGAGGAGGGGGGCCCGUAGACAGCAGGUCUGUCUGCCAACAUCAAAAGCCAAAUGACCGGAACGUGGUGUACAGUAGGAUCGGGUGUCAAGCGGCUGAAUCAAGUCGGAGCUGCAGUCUGCCGUGGCUAAGAGUGGCACAGUGUCGUCUUCCUUUUGGUCAGAGAUGUUGCCAACAUUAACACCAUGUGUGACACAACAAAACGGACAAAGUGAAAUGGAAAUGAAGGACUACUUUGGUCGGUUUUCAUCACAUUAACAUUAUGUAACAAUCUGCAGCACAGUGAGUGCUUUUUCCAAUAAAGCCCAAGCUCUGUUACCAAC